rnacentral:rRNA from 1 species
GACGGAAGGUGCAAGCGUUGCUCGGAAUCACUGGGCGUAAAGGGUGCGUAGGCGGCCGUGCAAGUCUGGCGUGAAAGCCCCGGGCUCAGCCCGGGAAGUGCGCUCGAAACUGCGCGGCUCGAGUGCCGGAGGGGAGAGUGGAAUUCCUGGUGUAGCGGUGAAAUGCGUAGAUAUCAGGAGGAAUACCGGUGGCGAAAGCGACUCUCUGGACGGCAACUGACGCUGGGGCACGAAAGCGUGGGGAGCAAACAGG